CCUGGCGGGCAGGUGGCCUUCCUGCCGUUUCUGCGCUGCGGGCGGCGUCCAUUUCGCUUGCAAGCUUCGUUGCGUUCGCACGCCUUUUUCUGGCUCCCGUUGUCUCGCGUUCCGUCGUUGCUCUGGUGCCCUGGACUGCUGUGACUGUUUUUAUGCCCUACUAGUGUUGCCUGGGGGUGCUUUUAUGUGUGCACCCUGGAAGAUAGGUCAAUUGCGAUUUCUUAGAUUAAAGGUUAGUUCUAUGCUUGUACGAUUCGUGCAGCUUUUGUUUGGUAUCAUUCCUAGCGUGUGGGUUCUAUUACUUUAUGCUAGCAGUGUGAUUAUUACCCUUUUGAUUCCUAUUACCCUAAGCUUUAUCUUUCAGCUAAGUGUACUCGUGACCCUACCAGCACUUUUCAAGAUACUUUCGACGUAUUCAUUGCGGUGAACAACGCGGUUGGGACAGCACAUUCAUGACGUGGGAAGGUCACAGAAAUGUUGAAAGACAUCAGAUUGGGCAUAGCUUCACCCGUGCAACUUCGUCAUGUGCUCCACGGCAGCAAAAGCCUUUACGGCUGUGCCACUCUAUGUGAAAAAUGCUGAGUGAUUUUAAUAAAGAAUUUGCAGGGAAGUACAAUGUGUCGCACCUUGUUGACUCUUUUACAGAUGUGUGGAAACGUCGUAGCGGAUGAAUGUGAAUUAUGGAUCUCCAAGUGGCGUCGCCCGCGUCAUUUUCAAGAUUUUACCCGUUUUGAAGGUACGUGAAUGUGCGAGGCAUUCACGUUCCUACUACGUGGUUAUCCAUGCGUUUCCCGUCUUCGCAGGCAAUAGGGCUGUUGAUAGGGAGAAUGCUAGGCUACUGCAGACUGCAACCAUAGGCGCUGUGUCUAAAGGUUAAGCUCACAUGACGCGGCAGGGAAGGGAGUCCGUGGCGAAAAGUGAAUAUAACCGAAGUUGGAUAGCGUUAAUUUUUGCGCACGAAAGGCAAGCUGGACACAUCGCAAAUCUCCAGUUGUACGAAACACAGUGCAGCAUGGUCGUCGGUUAUGCCAGUGCUUCAACAUAUGUUUCAGCGUCGCACUUCGGACAUUGCGGGCGUAUACCUUUAAGUUUUUCCCCUUGUGGACCGAUGCUGUGUGUGUUCAUGGACAUCAUGUUUUCAAAGACAUGUAAGUUCUCAAUAAUAAUUCGAAAAAAAUGCUGGUCAUGUUAUUCUGUGAUAUAAUACCUGGUGAGGUAAUACGAUGCUAUGACGCUCAGUUUCAUACGAAAUAAAGUGUUUGAUCUAA